rnacentral:pre_miRNA from 1 species
CAACUAAUCCCUCUGUCCCAAAUUUCUUGUCUUAGAUUUGUCUAGAUACGGAUGUAUCUAAUACUAAAAUGUGACUUGAUACAUCCGUAUCUAGACAAAUCCAAGACAAGAAUUUUGGGAUGGAGGGAGUACUUU